AAUACUAUACGUAAAUUUCUUAUGUAUACCAAUCAUUUAUUCAGUCGAUCACAAAAACCAUUGGGUCAAGUGGAGUCUAACUAACUCUUAGCUAUGGACAUAGAUGAAUUCUUUUACAGACAUUAAAAAUAAUAAAGAACAGCAUCACUCCGAUCCUAGAGUAUUUUGGUACACCAAAUACUGACAAAAUUGAGCGGCAGUAUAAUGAAAUUACGCUGGUGCAAUGGGAAAAUACCAAUUAUACUGAAAAAUGUUGGAAUGAAGUUCUAAAAUACCGUGAUUCUGGCGGAAACUGCCGGUUUCAUGAAUUGGCACUAGUUUCGCUACAAAUGCUUUCGCUGCCUUGGUCAAAUGCCUAAGUCGAGCGAGUUUUUAGUCAAGUUAAUUUGAUUAAAACAAAACAUCGAAAUAGCAUGACCGUUGAAACAUUAAAUGCUAUUUUAAGAAUAAGGUAUAGCCUACGCAGACACAAUAAGUGCUGUUUUUACCACCAAAUACCACCCAGCAGCCUAGCUGCAACAGAACAUAGAGACAAUUAUCCGGGCGAUGAUACACAAAAUAUUGAACUAUUGAAUAUAAUUUAAUUAAUGUAAAAAUAACUACAUAAGUAAAUUUAGUUUUCUGUUAAAUUUAAAUAUAUGCUUUUGUUAAU